rnacentral:rRNA from 1 species
GACGAACGCUGGCGGCGUGCUUAACACAUGCAAGUCGAACGAAGUGGCGAACGGGUGAGUAACGCGUAAUCAACCUGCCCUUCAGAGGGGGAUAACAGUUGGAAACGACUGCUAAUACCGCAUACUGAAGGAGGGGAUUGCGUCUGAUUAGCUAGUGGGAGGGGUAACGGCCCACCAAGGCGAUGAUCAGUAGCCGGUUGGAGAGGAUGAACGGCCACAUUGGGACUGAGACACGGCCCAGACUCCUACGGGAGGCAGCAGUGAGGAAUAUUGGUCAAUGGGCGUAAGCCUGAACCAGCCAAGUAGCGUGCAGGACGACGGCCUAUGGGUUGUAAACUGCUUUUAUGCGGGGAUAGGUACCGCAUGAAUAAGGACCGGCUAAUUCCGUGCCAGCAGCCGCGGUAAUUC